AGCAGCCGCGGUAAUUCCAGCUCCAAUAGCGUAUAUUAAAGUUGUUGCAGUUAAAAAGCUCGUAGUUGAAUUUCGGGAUCAAUAUGUCGGUCGUGCCUUCGGUACGCACUGGUAUCAUUGGUCUCUCCUUUCUGACGAACCAUGAUGUCAUUAAUUUGGUGUUAUGGGGAGUUAGGACUGUUACUUUGAAAAAAUUAGAGUGUUUAAAGCAGGCUUUAGCUUGAAUACAUUAGCAUGGAAUAAUGAAAUAGGACGUUCGAACCUAUUUUGUUGGUUUCUAGGAUCAACGUAAUGAUUAAUAGGGAUAGUUGGGGGCAUUAGUAUUCAAUUGUCAGAGGUGAAAUUCUUGGAUUUAUUGAAGACUAACUACUGCGAAAGCAUUUGCCAAGGAUGUUUUCAUUAAUCAAGAACGAAAGUUAGGGGAUCGAAGACGAUCAGAUACCGUCGUAGUCUUAACCAUAAACUAUGCCGACUAGGGAUCGGAUGAUGUUUAUUUUUUAAUGACUCAUU
rnacentral:rRNA from 1 species